AGAGUUUGAUCCUGGCUCAGAACGAACGCUGGCGGCAGGCUUAACACAUGCAAGUCGAACGCGUGUAGCAAUACACGAGUGGCGCACGGGUGAGUAACGCGUGGAUAUCUGCCUUUUGGUUCGGAAUAACCCCGGGAAACUGGGGCUAAUACCGGAUGGUUCCUUCGGGAUAAAGAUUUAUCGCCAAAAGAUGAGUCCGCGUACGAUUAGCUAGUUGGUGAGGUAAUGGCUCACCAAGGCGACGAUCGUUAGCUGGUCUGAGAGGACGAUCAGCCACACUGGGACUGAGACACGGCCCAGACUCCUACGGGAGGCAGCAGUGGGGAAUAUUGGACAAUGGGGGCAACCCUGAUCCAGCCAUGCCGCGUGAGUGAUGAAGGCCUUCGGGUUGUAAAGCUCUUUUGGCGGGGACGAUGAUGACGGUACCCGCAGAAUAAGCCCCGGCUAACUUCGUGCCAGCAGCCGCGGUAAGACGAAGGGGGCUAGCGUUGUUCGGAAUUACUGGGCGUAAAGCGCGUGUAGGCGGUUGCCCAAGUCGGGUGUGAAAGCCUUGAGCUCAACUCAAGAAAUGCACUCGGUACUGGGUGACUAGAGGACCGGAGAGGAUAGUGGAAUUCCCAGUGUAGUGGUGAAAUACGUAGAGAUUGGGAAGAACACCAGUGGCGAAGGCGGCUAUCUGGACGGUUUCUGACGCUAAGACGCGAAAGCGUGGGGAGCAAACAGGAUUAGAUACCCCCGUAGUCC
rnacentral:rRNA from 1 species